CACACACACACACCCUUCCCCCCUCCCCCUCCCCUCACAUGAAAACACACGUUGGAUUCCCUCCUUCCCACACCUCUCUCUCACACACUCCCCCAGAGCCCGUGAGAACGAAGCACUAAAGUAGACCCCUCUAGCUCUGGCGGCCACUGCUUUUCUUGGAACUUACACCCUCUGUGUCCGUCUACUUCCCUCUACUAAUCCCUUCUUCCCUGUCCUGGUGGUCCCCUGCACCUUCACGCACCUCCCCAACCUCAUCCUGCUCCUUUGAUGGCUGUCAUCAGAGACCUUCGCGGAAGCCCCACUAUUUCCACCUGUCACAGUAGAACUGUCUCGCAGCCCAAGUUUGAAGGUACUUGGUUUGCUGCUGGAGCUAUUGCCGCCGCCGCCGCUGUUUCCUUCUCUACUUCUUCCUCCUCCUCCGUCUCCUCCUCCUUUUCUUUCUCUUCUUCGGCGCGGGCUUAAAGCCUAGGAGUACAGCCGAAGCCCCGGAGCCCAUGGCAGAAUUACCAGCCUCCCUAAAUUUUUCUUCCUCAUCCUUAUCUUCGCCCCCUCUGCUCCCUCGCUUCCUCGCGGUGGAGCCUUCGGAGAGCAACAUCUGGAGCAGGUGAGCAGCUGUUGUGGAGCUCCAGUCCGAGAUCAAAGGGUCCGCUUCGCCCCGGAGCCACAACACAAUCUCUCUCUCUCUCUCUCUCUCUCUCUCUCUCUCUCUCUCUCUCUCUCUCUCUCUCUCUCUCUCACACACACACACACACACACACACACACACACACACACACAGAGGCAGACGCUACACACUGAGAGAGAAACGGGGGUAAGAGAAAGAGAGGGCAGGAAGAACCCCGUUUUUCUAUAUUUUGGUCAACUUGGCACGAACCACUGCAGAUGCACCACAGGUUACUCUUGGGGGGUCUCGCUGCCUCCCGGUAGCGGUGCAUCAGGUCACGGUGGCGCCUCUGGUGUUGGCGCUCUGGUGUUGGUGUUAGCCGUGCGGCAGCGGCGGCUGCCAGGGACCGUCAGUAUCCAACGGUGCCCUGUGAUCGCCACCCGCCCCCUCCCUCCCUCUCUCCCGCCCCAACCUCUGUUAACCAUCGCUAAGUAACCUUCUCCUCCGGCUGCGGCGGUCCCGGGUGACAUGCAGUCCCUUAUCUCUCCGGUGACCAAGGCGAUUCUGGUGGCUUUGUUCAUCUUUGCCAUCCUCCUGAUCCUCUAUGUUAUCCUUUGGUACAUCUGCCGCGAUGUGGAUUGCGACCACGGCAUCUGAGUCGGGCUGCGGGGCAGCCUUGGAGCUGGAGACUGCUUGACAGUGGAGUCUCUCAAGGGGGGGAGGGGGCUUGAUAAAAAGAGAGCCAGACCCAGAAGAAAAGAGCUGGGAUUUUUUUUAAAAAGAGAGAAAGAAAGAGUGAGAGAGGUGGAGGUGACGAACGGUGGUGGAGACAAGGAAAAAAGGAGAAAAGGUGGGCAUGGGGGUGGGGGAAGAAAGAGAGCAGCCGUCAGCCCCUCGGAUCCGACGACCUCAUCGAAACCCGGCAGGCAAGAACUACAUCUAAGCACCGGCGACCUGGAAUUGACCUUCAGACAGCAGGGUGACCCCGUGCCCAGUGAGGGACUUGAAAGCUCUGGACAGUGUGGAGUCAUCCCUUGCCCUGCUACAACCCAGGUGCCACCAAGGUGUCAUGACUCUGAUGUGGAGGGACACCUUUGAGGGAUGGAAGGGGGAGACUUUGGCCUUGUUCCUGGGACUGUCGUGUCAACAAGAGUGCCAAUGACGCAAUUUUGUGGGGAUGGAGGGAGGGGUGGACAAUAUAUGGAUUGAGGCCAUCAGCAGCCAUCACCCAUCUCACCAAAUAUUCCAAUGAGAACUCAUGGUCCUUCUCAACAGCUGGGGCCAAGGCCUCCAUCAUAUCUCCUUGCUGGUAUUCUGAGCCAUCCUACCUGGCCUGUCUCUCCUCCCUCUCUCUCGUGGAGUCGUCAUCAGUCUCUUCCUUGCUUGUGCACGGUACUGAACCAGCAGGGCUCUUUGUUUAAAAUAUCUGUGAGGCAGCCUUGUGGAGAUUUUUACUUUUACAUACAUGACUAGAGAAAUCCUGAAGACAAUCAGCAUCAGAUUGUAACAUCUUUAAGGUAGGUGACAUCUGGGGCCUCGCCUACUUCAUUUUCAAAUGGAUUUUCUCAGUAAAGUUUGUAAACAAGUUAACUAUCUUGUAGCUUGUUUUUGCAUGAUGGAUGUGCUCAAGGGAACAGUCAUAAGUAAUUCAAUUAUGGCCCUCUUUUUAAUUUUUUUUCAAAGUUACCCCAGAUAAUUUUUGUUUUAGUGGUCAUAAUAAAAAAUAUGCUGCUCCCAGAAAAAUAGCCUAAUAAUUAAAGACUAUGACCUUUCGAUGUGAAAGAAGAAAGCCAAUAGGCAUACAGUAUGCCAGCACCUCAUCCAUGUUGGAGUGUUAACAACCUCAUUUUUAUGGCAUAAUGCAAUUUCAUUGCAUAGUUUGAGGGGCACCAAGGAUGUGCAGUUUUGCACUUUUGUUGAAAACUUCAGGGAAAACAGACAACAUGAGCAUGAGAAUUGCCAGGUGAUAUUUGUAUUAUCUUUAUGAAUGUAUUUGAAACGUCAUGACCCAGCAAUGUUAGCUCUCCAUACCAUCCAUAUGCAUCAUAAUGAAUUAUUUUGUAAGCUUUUCUAAAUGCUAUAAUAAUUCUGUCUUUCAGGUUUGAUGUGGCACCUUAGUGUUGUCUUGUCACAUCUCUGUCUCUCCACAUGAAAAGAGGCAAUAAAGACAAUGCUCAGACAGUAUGGCUAUUCAAGAAAAUAAAAAAUAUUUUUGAAACUGCA